AGUUGUAUCAAGGCAGAGUUCAUGUGGCCCUAUGGCUGUAAAGUUUGGAGACCCCUGUAUUAUGCGAUACUAUCUUGUAAUUAAUUUAAAAAUUCCUCUAAAUAGUAAUACUGUCGUGCCUCUAUUUGACUUAUAGCGUUAAUUACACAUCGCCCUGGUGUAUUAAGUUGUACACAGGCGUCUCAAAAAUCUGCUUAUCUUUGAAAUCAGUCAAUAUUUAGAAUUUGCAUGAUUCAGGAAUAGGUAAUUAUCAAGAAAGCGUAAACGAAAUAAAUUUCAAUUUAAUUGAGUUUGAUGCUUCAAAUUUUAAAGUACAAUUGCUGUACAGUAACUUCAAUUUGUGUAAUGCUUGUUUACAUUUCAUUUAAAUCUCUUUGGAAAUCAAUUACUUCUGAAUCAUGUAGAUUCUAAACGUCUGCUGAUUUCAAAGAUGUGCAGUUUUUCUCAAACACCGUCUUGUAUAGAAAUGCAUAGAAAGACAAUACACAAUUUUAAGCAAUA